UAGCUCUUUAACAAUUUGGAAAGCUGACGAAUAACAACAAUCCCCAUCUCUUUGAGAUGCGUUGUUAUUCAAAUUAAAAGUUCUCAAAUCCUAAUUCUAUGAAUUAGGUACCAACACACAUUCAAGUGUUCUUGGAAACAUCCUUGCGAUGUUUAAUAUUUGAGUCCGGCAAAAUCGUGUCUGCACAUGUAUAAAAAUGCAGACAACUUUGGUUGUUUAAACAGAGACCCUUUGGGGUUGUAUGGUUAAGU
rnacentral:misc_RNA from 1 species